AUUGAACGCUGGCGGCGUGCUUAACACAUGCAAGUCGAUCGGUAACGCGGGGGCAACCCUGGCGACGAGAGGCGGACGGGUGAGGAACGCUUGGGAAUCUGCCUAUCAGCGGGGGACAACACGGGGAAACUCGUGCUAAUACCGCAUACGCCCUACGGGGGAAAGCAGGGGAUCACUUGUGACCUUGCGUUAAUAGAUGAGCCUAAGUCGGAUUAGCUAGUUGGUGGGGUAAAGGCCUACCAAGGCGACGAUCUGUAGCGGGUCUGAGAGGAUGAUCCGCCACACUGGGACUGAGACACGGCCCAGACUCCUACGGGAGGCAGCAGUGGGGAAUAUUGGACAAUGGGGGGAACCCUGAUCCAGCCAUGCCGCGUGUGUGAAGAAGGCCUUAUGGUUGUAAAGCACUUUAAGCGAGGAGGAGGCUCUUUUGGUUAAUACCCAAGAUGAGUGGACGUUACUCGCAGAAUAAGCACCGGCUAACUCUGUGCCAGCCGCCGCCGUAAUAC
rnacentral:rRNA from 1 species